UCAGGAUGAACGCUGGCGGCGUAGCCUAAUACAUGCAAGUCGAACGAGGUAGCAAUACCGAGUGGCGAACGGGUGAGUAACACGUAGGUAACCUGCCCUUAAGCUUGGGAUACCCAGAGGAAACUUUGGCUAAUACCGGAUAACAACAGAGAAGGCAUCUUCUUUGACUUGAAAGGCCCCUUCAAGGGUCACUUAAGGAUGGACCUGCGGCGCAUUAGCUAGUUGGUGAGAUAACAGCCCACCAAGGCGAGGAUGCGUAGCCGAACUGAGAGGUUGAUCGGCCACAUUGGAACUGAGACACGGUCCAAACUCCUACGGGAGGCAGCAGUAAGGAGUUUUCGGCAAUGGGGGAAACCCUGACCGAGCAACGCCGCGUGAGCGAUGACGGCCCUAUGGGUUGUAAAGCUCUGUUGUAAGCCAUGAAUGACAGCUUGAGGAAAUGCAAGUUGUUUGACGACAGCUUACCAGAAGGCCACGGCUAACUACGUGCCAGCCGCUGC
rnacentral:rRNA from 1 species